GAAAUGCGAUAAGUAAUGUGAAUUGCAGAUACCGUGAAUCAUCAAAUGUUUGAACGCACAUUGCACUGGCUGGAACUCCGGGCAGUAUACCUGUUUGAGCAUCAGUAAGGUCUCCAGCGGUGCGGUCAUUGCACGUCAUGUACAUUGUAGCGCUGGAGGAAGUGAGCGUCCACGCAGCGAUGCGUGUUGCUUUAAAUUAACGGCGUAGGAGCGACAGAGUUAAUAGGCGUCCGCCUGUUGCUGUAGCUCGGUGCAUAACAACAAAAACAGAUCUCAAAUCAGGUAAGAGCACCCGCUGAACUUAA
rnacentral:misc_RNA from 1 species